GUAGGGAAUCUUCGGCAAUGGACGAAAGUCUGACCGAGCAACGCCGCGUGAGUGAAGAAGGUUUUCGGAUCGUAAAACUCUGUUGGUAGAGAAGAACGUUGGUGAGAGUGGAAAGCUCAUCAAGUGACGGUAACUACCCAGAAAGGGACGGCUAACUACGUGCCAGCAGCCGCGGUAAUACGUAGGUCCCGAGCGUUGUCCGGAUUUAUUGGGCGUAAAGCGAGCGCAGGUGGUUUAUUAAGUCUGGUGUAAAAGGCAGUGGCUCAACCAUUGUAUGCAUUGGAAACUGGUAGACUUGAGUG
rnacentral:rRNA from 1 species